CAGGUCUUCGUAAUUCAGUGUCCCUGUUCUGUUGUAAAUACCGUCUCGUGUCCUCAGCCUUCUGAAAUUCUCUAGUAGAUGCAGGCUUUGCUGGUGAGCUCUCAUUAGAGAUUCUCCGCUGGUCAAUAUAUGCCAUGAAUUGUGAGCUGAGGCUGUCUGAGUCCACGCACUUGGGUUGCCUCACCUCUUCCUCCUCCUCUUCCGUGGCACAGCUAUCAAUAUAGUCGAUCUGAUCGAGAUCAUGUUCCACUCCACCAUUGGUUACGACUGAGCUCC
rnacentral:lncRNA from 1 species